rnacentral:tRNA from 1 species
GCCUGGGUGGCUCAGUCAGUUGAGCGUCUGACUUCGGCUCAGGUCAUGAUCUCACAGUCUGUGAGUUCGAGCCCCGCGUCAGGCU